ACAGAUAUAAACAAUGACCUUACACUCUUCGUAACCAAUUUAUCAGCUCGCCACUAAUCCUGCCCUCUAUAUCUAUCUCUGAUUAUCCAAUUGAAGUGCAACAAGAACUCGCUAAUGUGAUUGAGCAUACUCGAGGCAGUGUGCCACUCCAUGAGUCCAAGAUCCAGUGCUCACCAGGAAUCAAAAUCGGCAUCGAUCCAUCUGUUCAUAGUUAGACUAUCACAUGUACGGCAAUGAAGGGGGCUACAUUUUUUUUUUUUAAAAAAAAAAGAAGGCAAGAAGAUUGCCUUACUUGGAAGGAUAGCCGCACCAUACAGUGAGGAUCUCAAAUGCUGUACAGAUUACGGCUCAUAAUUUCUACCGCUGAUGUAGCAUAGCCCGAAUGUCCGUGAAAAUUGCAAAAUAAGAGGCAAAUCCGAGAGGGAGAAACGAUCUGAACACCGCGUGUUUGUGCCCGUAGAAGAGGAUAAGAGUCGUUCUGUGCUUGUGAGGAUUACCUUUCUUCACUCGCCGUCAAUUGGGACGGCCGCCGAGGGAGACGAAACCGGCAGAGGAGGGACGAACUCGGGUCGCCCGGCAGCAUCCGGCGGGCGACGCCUCGGUGCGUGUGCGGAGCUAGCUCCUAGCGGCGGGGGGGGGGGGGGGGGGGUGGGGCUUGUUCGUUGCUACCUCCUUCAUCAUCGGCUUGGCCGGCUCAGACGCUGGGAACUUGGGGACAGCAUUUGCCGGCGGCCGCCC
rnacentral:lncRNA from 1 species